rnacentral:ncRNA from 1 species
UUGCCUCAUCUAAGUAAGACUACCCGCUGAACUUAAGCAUAUCAGUAAGCGGAGGAAAAGAAACUAACAAGGAUUCCGUCAGUAACGGCGAGUGAAGACGGAGUAGCCCAAGGUUCAAUCCUAGAUCUCUUCGAGGUCGGGAGAUUUAACCUACGGACUGAAGGAACUCGGUGUCGGCAUCUGUUAAUUCCUUUUGGAAUUUAGAGCCAUUGAAGGUGAAAGCCCUGUUCGCGGGUGUUGACACUUAGACCAUACCUUUAGCUCCACGAGUAGGAAUGUCUGAAAUUGCAUUCUGAAUGGGUGAUAAGAUUCAUCCAAGGCUAAAUAUAAGUUAGGAGAUCGAUAGCAUACAAGUACCGUGAGGGAAAGGUGAAAAGAACUUUGAAAAAAGGUUUAAAAGUAUUUGACACCGUUUAUGUGGAAGCGUUUACUUGGACCCCAAAUGAAGAUGUCUGCUUAGCUCUAGUUCUUAGAGGAUCAAAGUAGAGGAGUAUGUGCUGAUUAAAAGGUGGCAGCUUCUUGUUCAUUGGUUCUCGUUGAGGAAGGUAUUCUAAGUAGGCCAGUUACCAACAUGCAAGAUUCGAUGUUUAUAAAAUGCUGGAUGAGGCAACUAGCUUGCUAGGUGCUCGCCGGUAAUAAUGGAUAUUGGGUUUUGUAAAGAUUGCAGAAUACAGGCAAUUCACUAUGAACGAUUGUUAAUUUUGUUCAGCCGGCCUUGCUCUGUCCAUAUAGGUGGCUUGCCACUUGUAUGGCUUGUGAGACGUCUGGAUUUAAUGUUGCGGUUUUUGUAGUGCUUGUAUUUUUGUUGGAGUGGGUGCAAUAAAUGUCCCGUCUUGAAACACGGAUCAAGGAGGCCGUUUUAUGUACGAGUGUAAGAGUUAUUAAAACUCGGACGCGCAUUGAAAGAGAGAAUAUUCCUAAAAAUCGUCUCUACGGAGGCCUUUUGUCAGGAAUACCCGAAUCAUGAGAACUCUGUUUCGAAAGGAUUUGCGGUAGAGUACAUAGAAUGGGACCCGAAAGGUUGUGAACUAUGCUUGAGGAAGGCGAAGCCAGGGGAAACUCUGGUGGAGGCUUGUCGCAAUGCUGACGUGCAAAUCGCUUGUCUAACUUGAGUAUAGGGGCGAAAGACUAAUCGAACAACCUAGUAGCUGGUUCCUUCCGAAGUUUCCCUCAGGAUAGCUGGAGCAGUAUUCUAGUUUCAUCUUGUAAAGACAAUGAUUAGCAGUUUCGGGGGCGUAAUGCUCUCAGCUGAUUCUCAAACUCUGAACAGGUGAGGCAUACUAAUUCUCUUUAUUGGAUUUUGGUAUUAAAUGAUGCAUGCAUCAUGAAAAAUAGAAGCUCUUAGUGGGCCAUUUUUGGUAAGCAGAACUGGCGAUGUGGGUUGAACCAAAUAUUGGGAUAAGACGUCCAAUAUUCACUAAUAGAUACCACAAAAGGUGUUAGUUCAUUAAGACAGCAGGACGGUGGCCAUGGAAGUCGGCAUCCGCUAAGGAGUGUGUAACAACUCACCUGCCAAAUGGACUAGCCCUGAAAAUGGAUGACGCUAGCAGUGGAUAGUCGAUGCCCAAUCGUUAAAAGAAGUGAUAAUCCUUUUAACGUGUAGGAAGGCGUGAAGGUAACGUCGAAGAUUCAAUGUGAAUUGGAUUGGAGUUGCCUUUAGUGCAGAUCUUGAUGGUAGUAGCAAAUAUUCAAAAGAAUUUACUUUGAAGGCCGAAGUGGAGAAGGGUUCCAUAACAAUGGAAUUCAUUUAUGGGUCAGUCGAUCCUAAGGUCUGGGUUAACUCUCUCUAAUAAGUUUACUAGGUAGGUGGAUCGAAAGUGAAGCUUGCUUCUCACUAGUAAACUUAUGGGCCGAAAGGGAAGCGGGUUAAAAUUCCUGCACCACUUUAAGGGAUAUUAGGGUAACCGAUCGUAAUCCGGGACAUCAAUUGGUGGUCGAGGAAGAGUUAUCUUUUCUUAUUAACACUGUCUUGAAGUCCAUUGAAUCAGGUCAACUGGAGACGUGGAUUUAUCGCACAGUGGAAGAGCACAAACCAUUGGUUUGGGUCUCGCAUCCGUUAAUUGGUCCUUGAAAACCGGAUUAUGGUAUUUAGUCCCUUGAAGUGUUCGUACCAAUAACCACAUCAGGUCUCCAAGGUGAAUAGCCUCUGGUCAAAUGUAUUAAUGUAGAUAAGGGAAGGCUAGGUUGAAUCUCUUCACUUUGACAUUCAGAGCACUGGGCAGAAAUCACAUUGCGUCAAGGGCUUUUCAGCUAUUCGCAAUGCUUUGUUUUAAUUAAACAGUUGGAUUCCCCGUGAUCGUCACAGUUCUAAAUUAGUUGUUAAUUGUAAAGCAGAACGAGCAAGCCCUCAUAGCCGAAAGAACUAAACCCCUUU